AGUGAACGCUGGCGGUAGGCCUAACACAUGCAAGUCGAACGGCAGCACAGUAAGAGCUUGCUCUUACGGGUGGCGAGUGGCGGACGGGUGAGGAAUACAUCGGAAUCUACUUUUUCGUGGGGGAUAACGUAGGGAAACUUACGCUAAUACCGCAUACGACCUACGGGUGAAAGCAGGGGAUCUUCGGACCUUGCGCGAUUGAAUGGGCCGAUGUCGGAUUAGCUAGUUGGCGGGGUAAAGGCCCACCAAGGCGACGAUCCGUAGCUGGUCUGAGAGGAUGAUCAGCCACACUGGAACUGAGACACGGUCCAGACUCCUACGAGAGGCAGCAGUGGGGAAUAUUGGACAAUGGGCGCAAGCCUGAUCCAGCCAUACCGCGUGGGUGAAGAAGGCCUUCGGGUUGUAAAGCCCUUUUGUUGGGAAAGAAAAGCAGCAGGUUAAUACCCCGCUGUUCUGACGGUACCCAAAGAAUAAGCACCGGCUAACUUCGUG
rnacentral:rRNA from 1 species